rnacentral:rRNA from 1 species
GACGAACGCUGGCGGCGUGCUUAACACAUGCAAGUCGAACGGAAAGGCCCUGCUUGCAGGGUACUCGAGUGGCGAACGGGUGAGUAACACGUGGGUGAUCUGCCCUGCACUUCGGGAUAAGCCUGGGAAACUGGGUCUAAUACCGGAUAGGAGCCAUUUUUAGUGUGAUGGUUGGAAAGUUUUUUCGGUGUAGGAUGAGCUCGCGGCCUAUCAGCUUGUUGGUGGGGUAAUGGCCUACCAAGGCGGCGACGAGUAGCCGGCCUGAGAGGGUGGACGGCCACAUUGGGACUGAGAUACGGCCCAGACUCCUACGGGAGGCAGCAGUGGGGAAUAUUGCACAAUGGGCGCAAGCCUGAUGCAGCGACGCCGCGUGGGGGAUGACGGCCUUCGGGUUGUAAACUCCUUUCGCUAGGGACGAAGCUUUUUGUGACGGUACCUAGAUAAGAAGCACCGGCUAACUACGU